UGAUUAGGGUUAAUUGAUUAGGGUUCUAAACUGAACCAAUGGGUUAAGAACUGAAGCUAUGUCUGAUAAUUUACAUCGGUUGAUUAGGGAGUUAAUUGAUUAGUCGUUUGAUUAGUAGAAUUCUUUUUUGAUGAGUAGUUUAUUGAUUAGUCUGUGCCUCAUUGAGUUGAUUAUUUCUUUGAUGAGUAGUUUACAUAAGUUGAUGAGUAGUUUACAUAAGUUGUUAUUUCUUUGUUUCAUACACUUGAUUAGUAGUUUGAAAGAGUUGGUUACCGGACAAGUCUUUGUUUUUUCUCACCUAUAGAGUAGAAGUUUUCAUUGAGUUGAUUUCUUCUGUCUUCUUUAUGACUUAAACGUAAUUGUUUUAGUUGGUGUGGACAUUUAAGAUAGCGUACUGUGAAAACUUUAAGAUAGCUUACUGUGUUUGUGAUUUUGUGUAAGAUACCGUACUGUGUUUGUGAUUUUGUGUAAGAAUGUUUAAGAUAGUGUGGAGAUAUGUUUGCUUGGUUUAAUGAGUGUAAUGGGAAGUAGUUGGAAAACAAGUUUACUAUAGUUUCGUUGUUUUUUCUGUCUUCUGUCUUCUUUAUAGUUUCGUUUGUUGUUGUUCUCGUUCGGUUAAGAUAAAGCUUAAAGUUGAGCUUUGUUGUUAUUACUGUAAUAAGUUCUGAUUAGACCCUGGUAGUUUGUGGUUAGGUCUUUAAGAAGGUUACUUAUUACA
rnacentral:lncRNA from 1 species